GGAACUCCUCCACGCGUGGGUGUGGAAGCGACGGCGCCGACGCUAUUCACAACGGCAACGCGUCCCUUCCAACGCCGGCCGCCGCCAUCUUCAUCAGCCACCUUUUCUCAUGUGAGUCAUCCUUCCCUUUCUUCCCUUCUCUCCCAUGUCAGUGUGCCUCUCUCCCCUUUCUCCACCGCUCGUUCCGCUCCCUUGUUGGCUACAGUUGGAGAAUAGGACGAGCGUGACCUCGGCGUCAGGUUCCCCGACCAGCGGCCACGCCUCGAGUGCAUCGCCUUCUACGUCGACCCCACCAAGCACUACCCCUUCACCUGCACAUCCCCCUGCGAGCUUCUUGGGUACAUGGCGCACAACCAUGCUCACCAAGACAAAGGCCAAGACCAUGGGGUGGGAACUGAUCUGUGUCCAUGGACAUGGUGAUUUGAUAGCAUUUUGGGGGAGAAAUAAAAAAAAGUUUCACUGCUGCAUCCGUGACAAAUAAUAAUAUCCUUCAAUUCAGAGGUACAGAUCGUCAUAGCUAGUUAUUUAAAACGGAUUCAUGGGAGGGGUAACUAGUCUUAUACAAAUACGUAUAUAGUGUAUGAAAUCUUUGCUAUUGGACAAAGUUGAAUGAUCUGCACGCCCAUGAGUCAGAAAAGCACUAGGCAGCCCAGAUCGACCUCAUGUGGUGUUCAGCUUGGCGAGGGUGCGUUGCAAGGCCUUCACGCUCACUGAUAACGUUUUUCUGCCUAUACCUUCCUUGAGUUUAGUUUCAGUUUCAGCUAACUUUUAGUUUCAGUUUCAGCUAGCUUUCAGUUUCACUAGCAACGUCUUUCUGCCUGUACCUUCCAAACUUUCAGGUUCUUCUGGCUGCUCUUACCCCACCAGUGCAAGGUACGAGGCGAGCUUAAAUUAACCGUACACCAUGAUCCAUGUAGUGUGAACCAUGAUUCAUGUAGUGAUCCAUGAACUAUAAAUUCAUUUGUUCAGUGUGUUUAUUGUCAGUUCAGCUACAUAUAUUGCAAUGGCGCGCUUUGUAACACAGUGAAUUGAUGAACAAAUAUGAGCUAAUGUUACACUACAGAUUGACACAUUCACUUGCAUGCAGAACAAGGAAGUGGUGUUGCAAAGAAACUGUGUUUGAUUUUUGCUGUAACUUGACUGAAGAAACAUCUCUGUUUAUCAUCUCCCAAACAUAUAGCUAUAUGCUCAGUACUGCUCAUUUUUUUUUGCAAUGGCAAUGAGAUGUGUUAGUGCUUAAAAGUGUUAGCUUUGAUCUAUUGUGAUGUAAACUUCAUUAUGUUUCCUGCAUUUGCUUUGAUCUACUGUGAUGUAAACACGAUUUAUGUUGGUUCUGCUAUCUUUUGGAUGUAAUCAAACUAUUAUUUUGCUUUGUUGUUGUUCUGAUUCAAACUAUUCAUGCUUGUUCUGCUUUUGUUCUACUUGCUAUAGAAAGUACCUGGACUAUUAAGACAGACUUAGACCAUAAUGUUCAAAAAUACUAAACUUUGACACAAGGCUGCUUGUGUGUUUAACGAGUUGUGUUUAUAUACAAUAAUACAAGUGGUGUAACCAAACAGUGUACAAUGAGCAAUGUAUUGAAUCUCACAUGUAACUGAAACACACAUGGUUUAACUGACAUGGAAUGGAUUCACUCAAUCCAGCCAUGUAUUCAAACCUCAUGUGUAUUAAAAACUAACGUGCCGAACAAGGCCUUAGUUGGAACAAUUCCGAGUGCAAUCCGACGUAAAUGAACAAGGCCUUAGACUGAACCGUGACCGCUCUUAGUGAACUAUUAAAGUUGCUCUUAGUGCCAAACCUAAUUCUAGUCGAACCUAAAUGCAAAAAAAAUUGUUCAAUCCUCUACUAGCGACCAAACUGUUGUUAGGUAUCACUGCGC
rnacentral:lncRNA from 1 species